UACGUAGGGGGCAAGCGUUGUCCGGAAUCAUUGGGCGUAAAGCGUGCGUAGGCGGUUCGUUAAGUGCGUCGUGAAAGCCCCGGGCUCAACCUGGGAAUGGCGAUGGGAACUGGCGGGCUGGAGUAUGGCAGAGGGGGGUGGAAUUCCGCGUGUAGCAGUGAAAUGCGUAGAGAUGCGGAGGAACACCGAUGGCGAAGGCAGCCAUCUGGACCGACACUGACGCUGAGGCGCGAAAGCGUGGGGAGCAAACAGG
rnacentral:rRNA from 1 species